rnacentral:snoRNA from 1 species
UGUGUGAGUUUUUGUUUAACUUGUAACCAAAGACUUAAAGCUGAAUACAAAAAUAAACCCUCCUUUGCAAUACAGAACUCAUCGUUCAGCAUGAGUUUUGAUAUGCAUGAUAAAGAGCGNG